rnacentral:rRNA from 1 species
CCUUCCGUAGGGUGAACCUGCGGAAGGAUCAUUAGUGAAUUUGUUGAACUUCGGUUCACACUCUCUCACUUUCUACCCUGUGAACUUAUUAUAAAUGAUGGGCAACCGUCGUUUUUAUAUUACAAACAUCAGUAAAGUUGAAGAAUGUCUUAAUUUAUAACAAAUAAAAACUUUCAACAACGGAUCUCUUGGCUCUCGCAUCGAUGAAGAACGCAGCGAAUUGCGAUAAGUAAUGUGAAUUGCAGAAUUCAGUGAAUCAUCGAAUCUUUGAACGCACCUUGCACUCUCUGGUAUUCCGGAGAGUAUGCCUGUUUGAGUGUUAUGAAAUCUCUCAACCUUUCAUUUUUCAUUAGAAAUAUGUCAGGAUUGGAUUCUGAGCGUUGCUGAUCAGUUUACUGAUGAAGCUCGUUUGAAAUAGAAUAGCAUAUACCUGGUCUUAUAUCAGUUUGACUUGGCGUAAUAAGUACAUUUCGCUAAGGAUAUCUUCGGAUAGCUGAUGUUUGAUUAACGUUUGCUUCUAAAACCCCAAUACAUUUCUAAUUUAACCUCAAUCAGGUAGGACUACCCGCUGAACUUAAGCAUAUCAAUAAGCGGAGGAA